AAGAAACUAACUAGGAUUCCCCCAGUAACUGCGAGUGAAGAGGGAAGAGCUCAUCAUUGGAAUCUGGCAGCGUUGCGCUGUCCGAGUUGUAGAUGAGAAGAGUAGGUCAUCUGGACUGCGUGGUGUCCAAGUACAAUAGGCCGUCAGUGGGACAUCAUAGAGGGUGACAAUCCCGUCCUUGACAACCAACGUACGAGUCCAUUACGAUGCCUAUCUCAGAGAGUCGAGCAGUUUGGGAUUUGCUGCUUAAACAUGGGAGGUAGAUUCCUUCUAAAGCUAAAUACAGGCAAGAGACCGAUAGAGAACAAGUACCGCAAGGGAAAGAUGAAAUAGAACUCUGUGAAGGGAGUCAAAAAGACGUGAAAUUGUUGCGAGAGAAGCGAUUCAAGUCAGCGUAGCUAGGCCCAUCAAGCUUCUUGCUUUGGACUAGCUUUGCCAGCGGUCUUGUCCUUUUAGAGACUUGACUUUURACGUGCCCUGUCCGGUCUAACGGGCAGGCCCUUCGGGGCCAGUGGCAUGGCUGGUGGAAUGGCUUGCAAUCGACCCGUCUUGAAACACGGACCAAGGAGUCUAACAUGUGUGCGAGUAUAAGGGUGGCAAACCCGUAUGCGCAAAGAAAGUGAUAGCCUUUUAUGGCUGAGAAUGGCCUGAUGACCAGACAAGCAAUAUUAUGUUCCUCGUACGGUCAUUGCCCAAGUCCCGUGGUCAGAUCCCAUGGACAUGGAGUUAGAGCAUACAUGCUAGGACCCGAAAGAUGGUGAACUAUGCCUGGACAAAGCGAAGCCAAAGGAAACUCUGGUGGAGGCUUGUAGCGAUUCUGACGUGCAAAUCGAUCGUCUGAUCUGGGUAUAGGGGCGAAAGACUAAUCGAACC
rnacentral:rRNA from 1 species